GUGGGGAAUUUUGGACAAUGGGCGCAAGCCUGAUCCAGCAAUGCCGCGUGCAGGAAGAAGGCCUUCGGGUUGUAAACUGCUUUUGUACGGAACGAAACGGUCCUGGCUAAUAUCCGGGGCUAAUGACGGUACCGUAAGAAUAAGCACCGGCUAACUACGUGCCAGCAGCCGCGGUAAUACGUAGGGUGCGAGCGUUAAUCGGAAUUACUGGGCGUAAAGCGUGCGCAGGCGGUGCUGUAAGACAGGCGUGAAAUCCCCGGGCUCAACCUGGGAAUUGCGCUUGUGACUGCAGUGCUGGAGUGCGGCAGAGGGGGAUGGAAUUCCGCGUGUAGCAGUGAAAUGCGUAGAUAUGCGGGGGAACACCGAUGGCGAAGGCAAUCCCCUGGGCCUGCACUGACGCUCAUGCACGAAAGCGUGGGGAGCAAACAGGAUUAGAUACCCGUGUAGUCC
rnacentral:rRNA from 1 species